rnacentral:rRNA from 1 species
GAGUUUGAUCAUGGCUCAGAUUGAACGCUGGCGGCAUGCCUUACACAUGCAAGUCGAACGGCAGCAUGAUCUAGCUUGCUAGAUUGAUGGCGAGUGGCGAACGGGUGAGUAAUACAUCGGAACGUGCCCUGUAGUGGGGGAUAACUAGUCGAAAGAUUAGCUAAUACCGCAUACGACCUGAGGGUGAAAGGUGGGGGACCGCAAGGCCUCAUGCUAUAGGAGCGGCCGAUGUCUGAUUAGCUAGUUGGUGGGGUAAAGGCCCACCAAGGCGACGAUCAGUAGCUGGUCUGAGAGGACGAUCAGCCACACUGGGACUGAGACACGGCCCAGACUCCUACGGGAGGCAGCAGUGGGGAAUUUUGGACAAUGGGCGAAAGCCUGAUCCAGCAAUGCCGCGUGUGUGAGAAG